UCUCAUUUACAAGAGAUUCUGUGGGGAUAGAGAUUUGUCUGUUGAGGAUGUGUAUAACAUAUUCCAUCAUCGGUCCUCCUCAAUGAGGAUGUUCUUCCCUGGUUUGUAUUGACAGGUCUUUCCGCUGCUCUGUUGGAGUUACUGCCAAUAGUCGGUGUUGUCAGGGUUGCCUGACCUUCAUUGACAUGAGUAUCAACGGAUGAGAUCCCUGUUGGGGAUAAUGUCAAGGCUGCUUAACCUUCAUUGACGUGUGCAUCAAUGGUUGUAUGAAAAUCCGCUAGGGAAAAGGUUUUAGGGCUACGACCCUGAAUUGACGGUAUUGGACCUUCGUGAGGUAUUUCUGAAUGUAGUUUGUAAAAUCUGAGAUCAUCGCUAUAGUGUACCUUGUGUUUGGGUGUAGACCAAUGAACGAUAUGUAAAGCCACAGUUUGGCCAGUGAAAACCAG
rnacentral:lncRNA from 1 species